GGACAUGUAGCCAAGCCAGGAUAUGGCAUCAGCCUCCUAAGCUGAAUACCCGGAGUUCGAAUCUCCGCAUGCCCG
rnacentral:tRNA from 1 species